UAUNGUAAAUCUGCUCAUGAAACCUAAAUAGCCGCAACCUUGUGCUAAGGUAGCAUAAUCAUUUGUCUUUUAAUUAAAGACUAGUACGAAGGAUUUAACAUUUAAACUACUAUUCAAUUCAUAUCAUAUAGAAAUUAUUUUAAAUAUAAAAAAAUAUUUAUUUAUAAAAAAGACGAUAAGACCCUAUUGAACUUUACUAAAGUUUAACUGGGGUAGUUAAUUAAACAUUAUUUUAAUUUUUUUAAAAAAAAAUCUAAUAUAAUUAAUAUAAUUAAGUUACCAUAGGGAUAACAGCGUAAUUAUUUUUUAAAGCUCUUAUAUUAAAAAUUGUUUGCGACCUCGAUGUUGAAUUAAUAAUCUAUUAAAUGCAAUAAUCUAAUAAGAAAGUCUGUUCGACUUUUAAUAAAUUACAUGAUCUGAGUCAAAANCCGGAGA
rnacentral:rRNA from 1 species